CCCCCUGCCAGUCAGAACGGCCUUUCGGUGGAGAGGUGCGUCUAGAACUGAGGCGUGCGGCCAAUCCGACUGUUCCGUUCCGCUGCCUCGUGCUACCCCUCCAGCCUCGAACGCUGACAUUUAAAAGGGUAACAGCCGGGAGGCUGGAAGGGGGCCGCCGCUCCUCCUCGGGAGCGCCUCUCGGUCCCGGUGGCCUCUCCGGGCCUCCCGGCUCGAGGUCCAGCUGGCGGGGCCGGGGCCGUGGCGCACACCUUCCCUAGUCACUGGCGCUCGUCCUCGUGACAAAAGAAAACUUCAGGCUCGGUUUUCCAGCUCGCAAACAGUUAAGUGACUUCCUGCAAACGCUAGAGUCCCAGCAACCAGCCUUCCAAUCAAAAUCACAGGCUCCCCUGAACAGUAUGAAUGCCGUGCCCGGUCCCUGAGACGGUGCGACUAAAGCAUCCCAAGAUGUUUCUUUGCCCUCUUCGGCUGGAAAAGCGACCUCCAAGAAGGCUCAAGUCUGGCCAACUGCAGAAGCUCAGCAAGGAAGGCUGUGGAAGCAGCAGCGUCUUGCAGGCCAGAAAUGAUCAAGUGUUCACCAUGACUGGAAAGGAACCAAAGGAGAACAGUUUUGGUGAGAGAGCCAAAGCCGAGGAGCCAAGUAGUAGGUUUUAUUGGGCUUUUGUUAGAGUCAAGGAAAUUCAACGGAGGGACAUUUAUUGA
rnacentral:lncRNA from 1 species